GACGAACGCUGGCGGCGUGCUUAACACAUGCAAGUCGAACGGAAAGGCCCUGCUUUUGUGGGGUGCUCGAGUGGCGAACGGGUGAGUAACACGUGAGUAACCUGCCCUUGACUUUGGGAUAACUUCAGGAAACUGGGGCUAAUACCGGAUAGGAGCUCCUGCUGCAUGGUGGGGGUUGGAAAGUUUCGGCGGUUGGGGAUGGACUCGCGGCUUAUCAGCUUGUUGGUGGGGUAGUGGCUUACCAAGGCUUUGACGGGUAGCCGGCAUGAGAGGGUGACCGGCCACAUUGGGACUGAGAUACGGCCCAGAAUCCUACGGGAGGAAGCAGUGGGGAAUAUUGAACAAUGGGCGGAAGCCUGAUGCAGCAACGCCGCGUGCGGGAUGACGGCCUUCGGGUUGUAAACCGAUUUCGCCUGUGACGAAGCGUGAGUGACGGUAAUGGGUAAAGAAGCAUCGGCUAACUACGUG
rnacentral:rRNA from 1 species